GGGACUUUAGCUUAACGGUAGAGCGUCAGUGAGAUUAAACUGAAGAACCGGUGUUCGACUCCUGGGGGUUCCA